UCCGGAGGAUGCAAGCGUUAUCCGGAAUGAUUGGGCGUAAAGCGUCCGCAGGUGGCAGUUCAAGUCUGCUGUCAAAGACCGGGGCUUAACUUCGGAAAGGCAGUGGAAACUGAACAGCUAGAGUAUGGUAGGGGCAGAGGGAAUUCCUGGUGUAGCGGUGAAAUGCGUAGAGAUCAGGAAGAACAUCGGUGGCGAAGGCGCUCUGCUGGACCAUAACUGACACUCAGGGACGAAAGCUAGGGGAGCGAAUGGG
rnacentral:rRNA from 1 species